UUUGAUACUGUUACCUCUAAUAUGUGGUUUCUUAUGCUGGUUUGUUCAUAGACAUUUCCAAUUAUUGUGCAGGUUGCUUGCUACCUACAUAACAAGUACAAGUCUAGCGAAUCAAGUACAUAUAAGGAAAAUGGGACUUCUGCUGCUAUUCAAUAUGGUAUUGGAUCAAUUUCUGGAUUCUUUAGCUAUGAUGAUGUCAAAGUUGGUGUCAUAACUAUAAAGAACUAGGAAUUCAUUGAAGCAACUA